rnacentral:rRNA from 1 species
UACGAAGGGGGCUAGCGUUGCUCGGAAUUACUGGGCGUAAAGGGAGCGUAGGCGGAUAGUUUAGUCAGAGGUGAAAGCCCAGGGCUCAACCUUGGAAUUGCCUUUGAUACUGGCUAUCUUGAGUACGGAAGAGGUAUGUGGAACUCCGAGUGUAGAGGUGAAAUUCGUAGAUAUUCGGAAGAACACCAGUGGCGAAGGCGACAUACUGGUCCGUUACUGACGCUGAGGCUCGAAAGCGUGGGGAGCAAACAGGAUUAGAUACCCUGGUAGUCCACGCUGUAAACGAUGAGUGCUAGUUGUCGGCAGGCAUGCCUGUCGGUGACGCAGCUAACGCAUUAAGCACUCCGCCUGGGGAGUACGGUCGCAAGAUUAAA